rnacentral:rRNA from 1 species
CCUGGCUUAGGAUGAACGCUGGCGGCGUGCUUAACACAUGCAAGUCGAACGGAGGUUUAAGCGGAAGUUUUCGGAUGGAAGUUUAAGAACUUAGUGGCGGACGGGUGAGUAACGCGUGGGUAACCUGCCUCAGUACAGGGGGAUAACAGUUAGAAAUGACUGCUAAGACCGCAUAAUAUAGCGAAACCGCAUGAUUUUGCUAUCAAAUAUUUAUAGGUAUGAGAUGGGCCCGCGUCUGAUUAGCUAGUUGGUGGGGUAAAAGCCUACCAAGGCGACGAUCAGUAGCCGGCUUGAGAGAGUGACCGGCCACAUUGGGACUGAGACACGGCCCAAACUCCUACGGGAGGCAGCAGUGGGGAAUAUUGGACAAUGGGGGAAACCCUGAUCCAGCGAACCGCCGCGUGAGUGAAGAAGUAUUUCGGUAUGUAAAGCUCUAUCAGCAGGGAAGAUAAUGACAGUACCUGACUAAGAAGCCCCGGCUAACUACGUGCCAGCCGCUGC